UACAGGAGGGUGCGAGCGUUAAUCGGAAUUACUGGGCGUAAAGCGCGCGUAGGCGGCUUUGCAAGUCGGGUGUGAAAUCCCCAGGCUUAACCUGGGAACUGCAUUCGAGACUGCAUUGCUAGAGUAUGGGAGAGGGAUGUGGAAUUCCAGGUGUAGCGGUGAAAUGCGUAGAUAUCUGGAGGAACACCGGUGGCGAAGGCGGCAUCCUGGACCGGUAUUGACGCUGAGGCGCGAAAGCUAGGGGAGCAAACGGG
rnacentral:rRNA from 1 species